ncrna:unclassified sequences L31-Actinobacteria ribosomal protein leader
UCGGCCCCCGGUUCACGUGAACGCCCGUUCGCGACCCGGCGGCC